rnacentral:rRNA from 1 species
GCACGCCGCGUGAGGGAUGACGGCCUUCGGGUUGUAAACCUCUUUUAGCAGGGAAGAAGCGAAAGUGACGGUACCUGCAGAAAAAGCACCGGCUAACUACGUGCCAGCAGCCGCGGUAAUACGUAGGGUGCAAGCGUUAUCCGGAAUUAUUGGGCGUAAAGAGCUCGUAGGCGGUUUGUCACGUCUGCUGUGAAAACUGGAGGCUCAACCUCCAGCCUGCAGUGGGUACGGGCAGACUAGAGUGCGGUAGGGGAGAUUGGAAUUCCUGGUGUAGCGGUGGAAUGCGCAGAUAUCAGGAGGAACACCGAUGGCGAAGGCAGAUCUCUGGGCCGUAACUGACGCUGAGGAGCGAAAGGGUGGGGAGCAAACAGGCUUAGAUACCCUGGUAGUCCACCCCGUAAACGUUGGGAACUAGUUGUGGGGUCCAUUCCACGGAUUCCGUGACGCAGCUAACGCAUUAAGUUCCCCGCCUGGGGAGUACGGCCGCAAGGCUAAAACUCAAAGGAAUUGACGGGGACCCGCACAAGCGGCGGAGCAUGCGGAUUAAUUCGAUGCAACGCGAAGAACCUUACCAAGGCUUGACAUAUACGAGAACGCUGCAGAAAUGUAGAACUCUUUGGA